GCAUACUCGCUUCGGUCAUACAUAUACUAAUAUUGGAAUGAUACAGAGAAUAUUAGCAUGGCCCUUGUGCACGAUGACAUGCAAAAUCGUUAAGUGUUCCACAUUUUU